rnacentral:rRNA from 1 species
UACGGAGGGUGCAAGCGUUAUCCGGAUUCACUGGGUUUAAAGGGUGCGUAGGCGGCGCAACAAGUCAGUUGUGAAAUCUCUGGGCUUAACCCAGAGCGGUCAACUGAUACUGUCGUGCUAGAGUGCGGAAGGGGCAACUGGAAUUCUCGGUGUAGCGGUGAAAUGCGUAGAUAUCGAGAGGAACACCUGCGGCGAAGGCGGGUUGCUGGGCCGACACUGACGCUGAGGCGCGAAAGCUAGGGGAGCGAACGGG